AUCCAGCUGAAGAGUUACAAAUAAGACGAAACGCGUGUAUUAGAU
rnacentral:hammerhead_ribozyme from 1 species